UGAGGAAUAUUGGACAAUGGGCGCAAGCCUGAUCCAGCCAUGCCGCGUGCAGGAAGAAGCAUCUAUGGUGUGUAAACUGCUUUUGUACGGGAAGAAACACUCCUACGUGUAGGAGCUUGACGGUACCGUAAGAAUAAGGAUCGGCUAACUCCGUGCCAGCAGCCGCGGUAAUACGGAGGAUCCAAGCGUUAUCCGGAAUCAUUGGGUUUAAAGGGUCCGUAGGCGGUUUAAUAAGUCAGUGGUGAAAGCCCAUCGCUCAACGAUGGAACGGCCAUUGAUACUGCUAGACUUGAAUUACAAGGAAGUAACUAGAAUAUGUAGUGUAGCGGCGAAAUGCUUAGAUAUUACAUGGAAUACCAAUUGCGAAGGCAGGUUACUACUUGUGGAUUGACGCUGGUGGACGAAAGCGUGGGGAGCGAACA
rnacentral:rRNA from 1 species